rnacentral:rRNA from 1 species
GUCCUAGCCGUAAACGAUGGACACUGAGUGAAGGAGGGCUUGCCUUUCUUUGCUGCAGCUAACGCGUUAAGUGUCCCGCCUGGGGAGUACGGCCGCAAGGUUAAAACUCAAAGGAAUUGACGGGGGCUCGCACAAGCGGUGGAGCAUGUGGUUCAAUUCGAUGCAACGCGAAGAACCUUACCCGGGCUUGAAGUGGAUGUGGUAGGAACCGGAAACGGUAACGACCCCGCAAGGGGAGCAUUCAUCAGGUGUUGCAUGGCUGUCGU